UGUUUCGGCUAGGGGGUCAUCCCGACUUACCAACCCGAUGCAAACUGCGAAUACCGGAGAAUGUUAUCACGGGAGACACACGGCGGGUGCUAACGUCCGUCGUGAAGAGGGAAACAACCCAGACCGCCAGCUAAGGUCCCAAAGUCAUGGUUAAGUGGGAAACGAUGUGGGAAGGCUCAGACAGCCAGGAUGUUGGCUUAGAAGCAGCCAUCAUUUAAAGAAAGCGUAAUAGCUCACUGGUCGAGUCGGCCUGCGCGGAAGAUGUAACGGGGCUAAACCAUGCACC
rnacentral:rRNA from 1 species